GACGAACGCUGGCGGCGUGCUUAACACAUGCAAGUCGAACGGAAAGGCCCUGCUUUUGGGGGGUGCUCGAGUGGCGAACGGGUGAGUAACACGUGAGUAACCUGCCCUUGACUUUGGGAUAACUUCCGGAAACUGGGGCUAAUACCGGAUAGGAGCUCCUGCUGCAUGGUGGGGGUUGGAAAGUUUCGGCGGUUGGGGAUGGACUCGCGGCUCAUCAGCUUGUUGGUGGGGUAGUGGCUUACCAAGGCUUUGACGGGUAGCCGGCCUGAGAGGGUGACAGGCCACAUUGGGACUGAGAUACGGCCCAGACUCCUACGGGAGGCAGCAGUGGGGAAUAUUGCACAAUGGGCGGAAGCCUGAUGCAGCAACGCCGCGUGCGGGAUGACGGCCUUCGGGUUGUAAACCGCUUUCGCCCGUGACGAAGCGUGAGUGACGGUAAUGUGUAAAGAAGCACCGGCUAACUACGUG
rnacentral:rRNA from 1 species